GGCAACCCUGACGGAGCAACGCCGCGUGGGGGAGGAAGGUCUGUGGAUUGUAAACUCCUUUUCUCUAGGAAGAAGUUCUGACGGUACUAGAGGAAUCAGCAUCGGCUAACUCCGUGCCAGCAGCCGCGGUAAGACGGAGGAUGCAAGCGUUAUCCGGAAUUAUUGGGCGUAAAGCGUCCGCAGGUGGCGAUUCAAGUCUGCCGUUAAAGACUGCAGCUCAACUGUGGGCCGGCGGUGGAAACUGAUGAACUUGAGUAUGGUAGGGGUAGAGGGAAUUCCCAGUGUAGCGGUGAAAUGCGUAGAUAUUGGGAAGAACACCAGUGGCGAAGGCGCUCUGCUGGGCCAUAACUGACGCUGAGGGACGAAAGCUAGGGGAGCG
rnacentral:rRNA from 1 species